GGGAAGGUGGCUCAGUGGUAGAGCGCUUGCCUUACAUGGAUGAGGCCCUGGGUUCAAUUCCCCAUCACCA
rnacentral:tRNA from 1 species